UACGAAGGGGGGCUAGCGUUGCUCGGAAUCACUGGGCGUAAAGCGCACGUAGGCGGAUCUUUAAGUCAGGGGUGAAAUCCUGGAGCUCAACUCCAGAACUGCCUUUGAUACUGGGGAUCUCGAGUCCGGAAGAGGUGAGUGGAACUCCGAGUGUAGAGGUGAAAUUCGUAGAUAUUCGGAAGAACACCAGUGGCGAAGGCGGCUCACUGGUCCGGUACUGACGCUGAGGUGCGAAAAGCGUGGGGAGCAAACAGGG
rnacentral:rRNA from 1 species